UGGGGUUAGACUCAGUGGUAAAGUGCUUGCUUAGCAUGCAUGAGGCACUGGGUUCGAUCCUCAGCACCACAU
rnacentral:tRNA from 1 species